rnacentral:rRNA from 1 species
CGUAGGUGGCGAGCGUUAUCCGGAAUGAUUGGGCGUAAAGGGUGCGUAGGUGGCAGAUCAAGUCUGGGGUAAAAGGUAAUGGGCUCAACCCGUACUGGCUCUGGAAACUGAUCAGCUAGAGAACAGAAGAGGACGGCGGAACUCCAUGUGUAGCGGUAAAAUGCGUAGAUAUAUGGAAGAACACCGGUGGCGAAGGCGGCCGUCUGGUCUGGAUUCUGACACUGAAGCACGAAAGCGUGGGGGAGCAAAUAGGAUU